UUUUUUUAAUAAAAAAUUAAAAUUUUUUAAGNNNNAAAAAUAAAAUUAUAUUUAAUUUUUUGUAUAUUAUAGAGAAAAAUUUAAUUUAUUUACUGUAAAGGAAAAAUGAAAAUUUUUAAAAAUUUAAAAUUGUGAUAGUACAUUUUAGGUACCUUUUGCAUAAGGGUUUUUAGAAAAAUAUUAAAAUAUUUUUUAAUCCCGAAUUUAAAAUGAGCUAUUUUAAUACUUUGAAUUAUGUGGAAAUAUAAUAAAAAAUAUUUUAAUAGAAAUGAAAUUUUAUUCAUAUUUAAUGAUAUCUGGUUAUAAAUAAAUGAUUUUAGGUCAGAAUUAUAAUUUUAAGUUUUUAAGAACACUAUAAUUUUUAUCUAUGAGGGAUAAGCUUAAUAGAUUUCUUUAUAAUUUUAUUGUAAAUUUAAUUAAGGAUUAAAAUUGUCUAAUUCUUUUUAAAAAGAAUUACAAUUUUUAGUAAAAAUUAAUUUAAGAUUUUUUUAUGAUUAAAUUAAUUUUUAAAUUUAAUAAAAUUAUUAAAAAAUUAGUAAAAUAUAAUGAUAAUAAUAAUAUAUUUAAAAAUAUACUUACAAAGUAAAUUUAAUUAUAGUAAUUCGGCAAAUUAAAUUAAUUGACUGUUUAUCAAAAACAUUUCAUUUUGGAAAAUAAUAAAAUGUAUAAUCUGCUCAAUGAUUUUUUUUUUUAAAUUGCUGUGGUAUUUUGACUAUACGAAGGUAUUGAAAUAAGAUUUUAAAUGAGUGCUAAGAGAAUGAUUAAACAAUUAAAAGCUUUCUUUAAUUGAAUAAUUGAAUUUAAUUUUUUAGUGCAAAAGCAAAAAUAAAAAUUAGGGACAAGAAGACCCUAUGAAUUUUUUAUUAAAUUUUAUAAAACUUUAUAUAAAGUUUAAUUUAAUUGGGGUGAUGGAAAAAGAAUAAAUAUCUUUUUUUUUAAAGAAAAUUGGUUCCGUUUUUAGCGAUUAAAUGAAAAAAAUACUCUAGGGAUAACAGCGUAAUAAUUUUGGAUAGUUCAUAUAGAUAAAAUAGUUUGCGACCUCGAUGUUGGAUUAGGAUUCUUUUUUGGUGAAGAAGUUAAAAAAAGAAGUUUGUUCAACUUAUAAUUUCCUACAUGAUCUGAGUUCAGACCGGCGUAAGCCAGGUUGGUUUCUAUCUUAAUUAAAAAAUUUAUUUUUAUAGUACGAAAGGAAUUAAAAAUAUAAAACUUUUUAUUAAAAGAAAUAUUUUUUUUAAAACUAAUUUGGCAGAAAAAA
rnacentral:rRNA from 1 species